rnacentral:rRNA from 1 species
GGCGGCAUGCCUAACACAUGCAAGUCGAACGGUAACAGGCCCGCAAGGGUGCUGACGAGUGGCGGACGGGUGAGGAAUACAUCGGAAUCUGCCCGGUUGUGGGGGAUAACGUAGGGAAACUUACGCUAAUACCGCAUACGACCGAANGGUGAAAGCGUGGGAUCCGCAAGGACCUCGCGCAGCCGGAUGAGCCGAUGUCGGAUNAGCUAGUUGGCGGGGUAAAGGCCCACCAAGGCGACGAUCCGUAGCUGGUCUGAGAGGAUGAUCAGCCACACUGGGACUGAGACACGACCCAGACUCCUACGGGAGGCAGCAGUGGGGAAUAUUGGACAAUGGGGGCAACCCUGAUCCAUCAAUGCCGCGUGUGUGAAGAAGGCCUCCGGGUUGUANAACACUUUUAUCCGGAACGAAACGCGCAGGGUCAAUAGCCUUGUGAACUGACGGUACCGGAGGAAUAAGC